GCCGGGUGUGGUGGCUCAUGCCUGUAAUCCCAGCACUUUGGGAGGCUGAGGCGGGUGGAUCACUUGAGGUCAGGAGUUCAAAACCAGCCUGGCCAACAUGGUGAAACCCCGUCUCUA
rnacentral:SRP_RNA from 1 species